AGAGAGGGAGAAGGAGAGGGGAGAGAGAGAGAGAGAGGGAGGGAGGGAGAGGGAGAAGGAGAGGAAGAGGGAGAGGGAGAGAAAACAGGGCUCACCCCAAGGAGGGGGGUGGGUGGAGGGGAGUUUGGUCCCAUGCGGGACUCAAACUCGAGAACUGUCAGAUCAUGACAUCAGUGGAAAGUCAGAUUCUUAACUGACUGAGCCACUCAGGUGCCCCUCCCUGCCCAUUUAGUUUCAACCUUUUUGGUCCUUGUAUGUUAGGUAGCGUUAUUUGUGAUGGCAUUCAGGUGAAUUUUUAAAACACCAGGAUGAUAGCAUCUACCUUUAAAGUGUCCCAGGCCAUAUAUCUUUCUUUGAUUCGUGAUGUCCUUGGAGUCGUUUUCAUCAUCCUCUCUCCUUUUCAUUUCUGUGUGUCCUGCCUUCUUUAUUUCCUAUCCCUAGACUGACUUGCCACGUUAAACCUGCCUUAGGUGUGCUUUUCUUUAUCUUGAUGAGUGGAAGUCAUCUUUGGUUUGCUCAUUAUUUGAUAAUGGAGUGUGAAAGUCUACAUCCAGCAGUGUGAAGGGUGUGGAGAGACCAAGGACUUGCUCCCUCUGUGAAGAUUUUGUUUGGCUUUACUUUUUAGCAUGUCUCUGUGUUGGGUCUAUUGUAUAGAUAGAUGGUCUUUGAAGGUUUAAGUUCUAAUGACAAAAUGACUAUGGUUUUUGAAUGUUUAUUUAUUUUUGAGAGAGAGAGACACACACAGAGAAGACGUGCGAGUGCACACAUGAGUAGGGGAGCAGCAGAGAGGGAGACACAGAAUCUAAAGCGGGUUCUAGGCUCUGAGCUGUCAGCACAGAGCCCGACACGGGGCUCGAAGUUAAAAACUGUGAGAUUAUGACCUGAGCUGAAAUCAGACGUUUAACUGACCAAACCACCCAGGCACCCCUAAAAUGACACAAAUUAAAAAAAAAAAAAAAAGAGAUUAGUGAAAACAUUGAGUAGGAUGUAGUACAAAUAAUUGUUAUUUUGUGAAGGAGACGGGGGAAGUAAGACCAGGUUGGUUUGUUGUUCCUUUUUUUUUUUUUUAUUUAAUUUUUUAAAAUUUUACCUUUAAAAACGGUUUAAAAAAGUUUUAUUUUAAAUCACAUCGUUCGGUUUUGCUUUACACUUAGGAAAGAAUGAAUUGCAGACUACUGAGGAGUUACUUCUCCAUUUAUUUCUUCUUGGAGGGGCAGAGGGUGCAGGGGGAGUGGUGCCAGACCCUCAGCCAAAUGCCAUGCUAAAGGCACGUGUGCGUCAUCCCUCUGCCUGUCCCUAGCGGAGCCUAGAAUAGCGCCUUGCUGCACGUAGCGGCAGCUCAAUAAAUAUUUGUUGAAUUGAAAGAGUCUUGUGUUCUUGCUCCUUAUUUGCCGAAACUUCGGGGUGGGUCUUGCUCCUAGUUUACAUUCCUUGGUGCCACAACUCCUGAGAAGUGAUGAUCUCAGGGGCCCUGGGUAUAGGGGAGACUUUUGAUCAGGACUGCCUUGUGCUUUCUAAGGCUGAGCCUAACCGCCAAGAGCGUGGUGGGUUGCCACUGCUCUCUCAGUCUCUCCUGUGUCCUCUGUUUUUUCUUCAUGACUGAUAGUUCUGUAUUGAACCCUUCGCAUGGACUAUUCUUUCCAAAUCCUUGCAACUUCUGCGGUUAGCACUGGAAUCAGACAUAGCUUGACACAUAAUUAUGUCUUUUUGGGGAAAAAGAAUGUAUAAAGUCCCUGUACCUGGAUUCUAGCAGAAGAGAAUGUUACUUACCCACUAAGAAUAGUAACAAUUCACUUAUAUAUCGUUUGUUCAAAUUUACAAGCAAUUGUUGAAUCUUAAGAACGUGUAUCUCAUAAAGGACGCUGCAUCACAGAAAUGCUGUUCCUAGGAGAUGAGCCCUGAUUGCGUAGAGCUAAGCCAUACCUGCAUAAGGCCUUCUGAAAUCAGAGUGAAACAGGGUGGUCAGCAAGAAUUUGGGCCAAGGUUAUUACCUAGCCAUAUCUUUAAAAAUUAGUAUCGUCUUCUGUGGAAAUUGACAUUUAUUUGUUUGGGAGGAUGUAUUGAUUUUCUAUUGCUGUGUAAUAAAUCACCACAAACUUAGGGCUUAAAACAGUAACAUUUUUUAGCUCACCCUUCUGUAACAGCACAGGCUGGCUGGCUGGAUUGUCUCCUCAGGGUCCCACAGGGUCAAAAUCAAGGUGUUGGCCAGGCUGUGUUCUUUUUUUAUUUUUUUAAACUUUUUUUUUUUAAUGUUUAUUAUUUAUUUUUGAGAUAGACAGAGCACAAGUGGGAAAGGGGCAGAGAGGGAGAAGACACAGAAUCUGAAGCAGGCUCCAGCUCUGAGCUGUCAGCACAGAGUCCGAUGCAGGACUCAAACCAUGGACCGCAAGAUCAUGACCUGACCUGAGGUUGGGCACUUAACCAACUGAGCCACCCAGGCGCCCCUGCAUUCUUUUGUUUUUAAAGAUUUUUUUUUUAAUGUUUAUUUUUGAGAGAGAGAGAGAGAGAGUGAGCGAGAGUGCUGAUGUGGGGCUGGAACCCACAAAACGUGAGAUCGUGACCUGAGCCAAGAUCAAGAGUCAGACACUCAACUUAAUGAGCCACGUAGGCUCCCUCGCCUGGCUGCAUUCUUAUCAGGAAAGUCUAAGAAGUAUUUGCUUCAAAACUCUUUCAGGUUGUCGAUAGACUUCAGUUACUUGUGGGUGUAGGACUCAGGUCCUUGUUUACUUACUGGCUAUUAAACUGGGGCCUCUCUCAGGUCUGAAAGGCCACCUGCGUGUUCCCCACUCCCAUGUUCACGCCAGCAAGGGUGUGUCAAAUCCCCCUUGAACUUUGAAUUGCUCUGAUGUUCUUUUUUGCUCCCCACUUCUCACACCUGCCAGAGAAAGCAUGCUGAUUUUAGGAGAUCAGGCUUGCUUGUGUGAUCUCCCUUUAUUAAGGUCAGCUGCCAUAUAACAUUAUCAAGGGUGUGAAGUUUUGUUGCAUUCACUGGUUUUAGGCAUUAGGGUGGGGUAUCUUUUGGAGGCAGGGUCGUUUUAGAAAUUCUGCCUACCACAGAAGGUAUUUCUCUUAACUGUCAUGUUACUCACUUGCCUAGUCUUUACCUGUUGGCGUGUGCUUCAAAAUUACAGCUGGGACACAUAAAAACCCACGUAGAAUCUGGUUGGAUUUGAAGAUUGUCUCACAAUUUUAGUAUAUGUAUGUGGGCAUAAAAUGGGUCUGGUGAAAUCAUUUUUAUUUUUAGACGCUGAUAUUAGAGAACGUUUUUACAGGAUGCUUAGAGUUAGUCUUUCUGGAAGGCAGUAGCUCUGAUACUUCUCAAUUAUCUGCUAGACUUUGGAUUCCAUCCCCUGGCAUGGAUUCCAUUCUCUAAAGGGAUGGCAGGAGAUGAGGAGGUGAUGAGUGGAUUGCAAAGAACUUUGGUGGUACUAGAGAUUACAGGCCCAAGAGUGCUUUUGAACUUGAAUGCCUGCUUCUUUUAUUCAUUCAGCAAAUAUUUUUAUGGGCCUUCUUGUAAGGCCAGGCACAUGCUGGGUGCUGGUUAUGCAAAGGUACACAAAAGAGACAUGGUUCCUGACCUCAUGGACCUUACUGGAGAUAGACAUUGAACAAAUAAACAAACGAAUAUACAAUUACAAAUACAAGUGCCAUAAAGGGAAAAUUAGAAUGCCUUGUGAGAGAAUGCAAGAGAAUUUACUCUAGCCUGGGAGAUGAGGGACGUUUAGACCAAGAUUUGGAUCGGGCUUCUAGAGAAGAGUGUGCCAGCUGAACAGAUCAGCAGAGCCUCUGAAUUUUCCUCAGGAGCAAUUUGGCGCAUUGUGUUGAGGAAUGUCCAAGGAACAUACUCUUUUUGGAGCUUACCUCACUCCUGUGGGAUUUCUGCCUUUGUGAUAUGCUGUGUCAGAACACUUAGAAAUAACACCCGAGUGUGUCGUUGACCCUGGUACCUCAGGGUCCUACGUAGUCCUUUUUGGUCUGAGGCUGUAGCACAGGGGACACUCAAACGAUUUCAGUAGACAGAAGGUGGAGACGCUCUUCUGGCUUACCUGCACAAGCCGGGGCUCCACAUCCCUUUCAGGGUCCCCCCAUGCAGAUUCCAACUGCGUGUCCAUGGGGACCGGCGGCCCACAGCGCUGGCUGCCUGAGCGUCCUACAUCCUUGUGCCGUCUCAGGCCGUGGGACACAUCAGUCACCCGCUGCAGCACCGAGCGGGGUGGAAUGGGGAGUGACUACUUCCCGUGAGCUUUAGCUCUCUUUCAAGUGUGGGAGGGUGUUUGAGCAUUCUCUUCUAGUGUUCCCAACCUGCAAUCUGGAAUUCUGUGAGAUGAAUCAAAAUGUAUCCUACGUUCUCUUGCAAGAUGCAUCUUUUAGUCUCCUAGAGCUGCCACUGUUGGGGAGAUUGCUCUGUACUCCAGGCUGGGCAGAAGUAAAUCAUUUGUCUUUCCGGGACGUAGAAUGGACUUGGCAGCAGUUUUAUUUUUACCUUUCCUGUCAUUUCAGAGGCUGGCAGCCUAGAGGUAGGGUGUGGAACAGAGCCGUAAAUGACCCUUGGAAUGACUGGAAGGGUCCCAUUUUAACUCUUAAUUGCGCCUUUCCCUUUUAACCUCCCCUUCUUAUCCCCUUCCCUAUGGCCGCCCUCCCCCCACCCCCCCUCGAAUCCACAUUUGAACAGGGAGGAAGAAUUGAGGAGGGGGUAGGUCGGAGCAGGUUUGCUUGUCGAUGCCUCUCUCCAUGGUGGAAACAGUUUCUUUUCCCAUCACCAAUUCCCCUGUUUUUUUUUUGUUGUUUUUUUUUUUUUCCUGUGCUUCUAUUUUAAGAGCCUGUUUUUUUGCUGGUUGUCUUACUGGAAACUGGCCCAGCCUCACUCAGUUUUGUUUCCAUGCUGCUAUUAAAAGACAAUGCCCAGUUAAGAGGCCUUGGAAGAGGGGCAGGACAGACACCAUCUUGGGUCAGGUCAUCCAGGCACAUAUCGAUUCCUUGGAUUGGAAUGUGAAAAGGGUUUAUUAGGUGCUUUUAAUGUCUACAUUGUUUUUUGAUUUGUUUUUUUGAUUUAUUUUAUUUAU